UACGUAGGUGGCAAGCGUUAUCCGGAAUUAUUGGGCGUAAAGCGCGCGCAGGUGGUUUCUUAAGUCUGAUGUGAAAGCCCACGGCUCAACCGUGGAGGGUCAUUGGAAACUGGGAGACUUGAGUGCAGAAGAGGAAAGUGGAAUUCCAUGUGUAGCGGUGAAAUGCGUAGAGAUAUGGAGGAACACCAGUGGCGAAGGCGACUUUCUGGUCUGUAACUGACACUGAGGCGCGAAAAGCGUUGGGGGAGCAAACAGG
rnacentral:rRNA from 1 species